rnacentral:lncRNA from 1 species
CGAUUUUGUGUCAAGAAACAAAAGAUUUUCUGAUCCCAGCUGACAUGUAUAUGACACUGAACCGUUGACGAACGGGUGUCUCUUUGAAUAUAUUUGAAGACGUUGAUCCUGUCUCCACCGUCUAGCUUGGGAUUGCCCGAUUUUUUCUCCAACGUUUGCUACCUACAGAUACGCUAUACUCACACAUGCACCUGUUUACAUGGCGACACCGUUCGUAUCUUCGGCUUCAGUUUGUUCUGUAUUGCGUCCGUGACCGACUCAACCAGUCCCUCACUUUGAUUUCGAACACUGUCUGACACGCCAGUCUACCGCUGAGAGGAGCGAACUCCGUGACGGCUUCAAGCUCUGGUUGCUGCAUUGUCUCGUCAUUUUGGGACAGGUUCAACUUUACGUGAAAGCCCUCCUGCCAACGAAAGCGGAGGAAAUAUUUCUUUGCCGUUGGGAUUAUCAGAGGUGGAAACUCGUCGUGGAAGAAUUUUCUUUUUUGUGCGGGGAGCCUCACCGCAAGGUUGGGAGGUUUCUUCGUUCUGUUCCCCUGACUGGGUGAUGUUGUACCGAUCGCUUGCUUUUUCGUGACUACGGUUGCGCAGACACCCCGUACACCCUAACAAGCCUUUGUAUGCACCCACUUUCCUGUUUCCGUACGCUGCUUUCCUCUUCCUCCGAAAAUACGUCAAGACACGAGAGGCUGGCUCCACUGACACCAGGAUCCACAUCCGCGGCGUCUCUACGAUAUUUGCGCAUUACAGAGCCAUGGGAACCCGCGCUCGUCGUUUAAUGCCACGAGCGGCGCAUUUGCUCGCCGAGGUCGAGUGUAUGUACACACCGCCAGCUGUGGGGUCCUACGCGUCAGCCAUGCCUGCAGUUGAGCGCCUGGAAAAUGCCCUCCCCUUGGAGAACAGAGGCCUCUCCC